CCUGAAUGUUCCAGUCCUGUGAUCCCCAGUCUGUCCUGCCUGUCUGCCUCCCUUGACCCGGGCACACUACCUAUCGUGUAACAAUAGCGGGGUACAGCGGACGGGUGCAGCAGCAAAACCUAUUAAAGCCACCUAAACAGAUCCAUACCAUUGGAAGUUCAGUGUCUGGGGCUCACUGCGAUGGAGGCUGACCCGGGGGACUUCUUUUCCCAGGAGCAACACCCUCCUUCACUUCAUGCAACACC